GAGGUCGCUUCGGCAGUACAUAUACUAAAAUUGGAGUGAUACAGAGAAGAUUAGCAUGGCCCCUGCACGAGGAUGACAUGCAAAUCCAUGAAGCAUUCCAUAUUUGG
rnacentral:snRNA from 1 species